rnacentral:rRNA from 1 species
GAUGAACGCUGGCGGCGUGCCUAAUACAUGCAAGUCGAGCGAACGGACGAGAAGCUUGCUUCUCUGAUGUUAGCGGCGGACGGGUGAGUAACACGUGGAUAACCUACCUAUAAGACUGGGAUAACUUCGGGAAACCGGAGCUAAUACCGGAUAAUAUUUUGAACCGCAUUGUUCAAAAGUGAAAGACGGUCUUUCUGUCACUUAUAGAUGUAUCAGCGCUGCAUUAGCUAGUUGGUAAGGUAACGGCUUACCAAGGCAACGAUGCAUAGCCGACCUGAGAGGGUGAUCGGCUACACUGGAACUGAGACACGGUCCAGACUCCUACGGGAGGCAGCAGUAGGGAAUCUUACGCAAUGGGCGAAAGCCUGACGGAGCACCGCCGCGUGAGUGAUGAAGGUCUUCGGAUCGUAAAACUCUGUUAUUAGGGAAGAACAUAUGUGCAAGUAACUGUGCACAUCUUGACGGUACCUAAUCAGAAAGCCACGGCUAACUACGUG